ACAUAAAUUUAAUUAUAUGCCAAACUUUGAUAUUAAAGCACCACAUGUUAGUGAAGUCAAAUAGAAUCCAAACUUUACAGGUUAUUUGUUUAAAUACAAAAAAAAAAAUUUCAGGGUUACUAUUAAAAUUUGGAACUUGAAAAAUAAAUAUAUUUAAUAAAUGUAUUACAAUAAACUAUUUUGCAUAUUUUAGGUAGUAACACUGAACGAAAAUAAUAAUGAAAAUCUCAAAAAGUUUUUAGUUAAUAUGAAGAAAGAAUUUAAUGAUGCGAAUACAACAUCAUUCACUUUAGGUGAGGUUCUAAUAAAAGUAUUAUUCUACAAGACACAAUUUAAGAAUACUGACUUUGAUACACGUUAUGAAAUUCAUCAUAUACUAUAUCAAAUUUCACAAUUGUAUUCUCCAAAUUCGAUAUAUCAUUUAAAUACGUUUUACAAAUAUUAAAUGUAUUACAGUAGGAAAUAUUAUUUUUAAUAAUAAUAAAUAGUAUUAUUUUUUUAAA